GAGGUCACGCCCGUGACACCAGCAGUAACCGUGGAGAAACAGCCAAGGGGAAGGGAUGUUGUGUUCUUGUUGGACGGAUCUGAUGGUACUAGAACUGGAUUCCCAGCUAUGAGAGACUUUGUCCAAAGAGUAGUAGAGACACUCAGUGUGGAUGACAACAAAGACCGUGUCUCAGUGGUUCAGUACAGCAGAGAUCCAGCCGUCCAGUUCUAUCUGAACACAUACACGACAAAGGGCCAGAUCCUUGACACCCUCAGAGGUUUGA